CCCCAUACUCCCUCAGCACCCCAUACUCCCUCAGUACCCCAUACUUCCUCAGUACCCCCCACAGAGCCCAUCGGAGGACACAGUUGUAGGCCUUCUCCAGAUCCAGAAAAUACAUGUACACUGGGAAGUCGAACACCCUCGACCCUCUCAGCAGCUCUGCAAGAGUAAAGAUCUGAUCCACCAUUCCACGACCUGAAUCCACAUUGCUCCCCCUGAAUCCGAGGUUCGACAAUCGGUUGGAACCUCCCUUCCAACACCUUAGAGUAAACUUUCCUGAGGAGGCUGAGAAGUGUGAUACCCCGGUAGUUGGAACACACUGGUCCCUCUUCUUGAAGAUGGAAACCACCACCGUGGUCUGCCAUUCCACAGACACCGUACCCGAUUGAAGAGACGUGUCAGCCAAGACAGUCCGACAAUAUCCAGAGUCUUUAGCAUCUCAAGGCGAAUCUCGUCCACACCUGGUGCCUUGCCACUGAAUACCUUCUUCACUACCUCUGCGACCUCUGCCAUGGAUACAGACGCAGAUUCCUGGAGUCUUCAGGCUCUGCCUCCACCACACAGGACAUAUUUACUGGAUUCAAGAGUUCCUUGAAGUGCUCUUUCUACCGCCUGACAAUGUCCCCAGUACGGGUCAGCAGUUCUCCACAUCGACUGUACACAGCCUGGACAAAGCCCUGCCUCCACUUCCUGAGCCUCACAGAUCAGUUGCUGCUGCAGCCGGAAGUUUUCAGUGGUUCUUUGUGUCUGACUGAAACCGAAUCAGCUGACCAGCCUGAGAAGAUCCCCAGCAAAGACGUCUGCAGCGUCCAGAGACACGACAAGUCCUCACACGUUUCUGAUGACGCUGAGAAAAGAUGUUCGAGUUGGUUUGUUCAAGUCGCCCAGACAGGAAGCUCCAGCAGCCUGAGGGAGGAAGUGGAGAGACUGUCGAUGGUUUUAUCUCAGUCUGGGUUCGACAUGAAAUCUGUCCUCUCGGUCCAGAACCAGCAGACAUGUGGUCAGUCCAACUCCUCUUGUUCUGCUGUGGAACCUGAACCAUCGCCUGGAAACAAACCAGAGAAAACUCUGCUGCUGAACACCACAAUGGAGAUGACGCUCAGUAACGCCAGUGAGAUCAUCACUGUGGAAACCAAAACCAAAAAGACCAGAUGCUCCAAGAAACCGAAAGGCAAAAAGAAAGAAGAACAAACCUGUGCAGAGGCGAAGAACCCGGCAGAUUCCAGGUCCAGCGAAGAAGUUACCAGAACUGUGGGCCAAACGGUCAAAGAUUUUAGAGACACAGGAUGUCCUGAGCUUCAGUCGCCCAAAAUGUUGUAUAGAAACAUCACCACCUCUCGCAUCCCCAAACUGGCCAAACAUCAGAAAAUGUCGAAGAACAAAUUAAAAUCCAGAGAGUUGGUCCUACCAGACCUGGAUGAUUAUUUCACAGAUCCUGAAGUUCAGUCUUCAGAUGCCAGACAGACGGAUCCUUCAGAGGAGACAAACCCCAGAAUCACCUGCAGGAAGUCCAGAAAAACAGUCAGCAGGAAGACUUUAGUUCCUCGUGAGAUGGAGAGGAGUCUGUCCGAACUGCAGCAGAUUCACUCUGAACCUGAAGACCAAAUGAUGUUCUGUACAGAUGAGUCCAGACAGGUGGAACUUCUUCCCCCUCAUGGAAAUGAAUCACAGAGCAGAACGAAGACGGAUCCCAGUGGAGGCUCAAGGUGCAGAGGAACCUUUGUGAUCUCAGUGGACCAAGACAGCUUCUACUCCAGCAGAGCUUCACCAGAACCAGACCUGAUGCUUCCAGCAGGGUCCAGUCAGGAGGUUCUGGAUGGAAGCGAACAGUCCGACUGGAAUCCUCAGCCGGAGCCUCGGCGCUCCUGGAAGCGCUCCUGGACGGACGCUGAGAAGGUCAACCAACUCACUGACUCAGGGUCAGAGGUCCAGAAACAUAAAAAAUCCAGAAGAAAAGAAACGAGACCAUCCAGCAAGAAGAGAGAGGAAGACAUUUCAAAUGACAAGAAGAAGAAGAAGAAGAAGAAGAAAAGUCAGCGCAGCAACAAAGAGGUUGGAUUUGAGAAUGAAGCAGGUUCUGAUCCCAUUGAUGCUCCACCUGAACCCAGAACAGAAGAUUUACAGCUGCUGGACUCACAUCCUGACACCAGCAAGGAGGACCACUUCUUCCAGUAUCUGUCUUCCAAGUCCUGGACGGAUCUGAAACCAAACAGGAAGACGUUUGAUGUGAAUUCAGCGGCAGACUCCAGAAACCUUCGAGGGACGUUUGUUGUUUGUCGACGGAAAACUGGAGAUGAAAAUAUUUGUGUGAACGUCAGCAGGACAUCUGAGUCUGUCCACCACGAUGUUGGAGAUCUGCUGAUGGACGAGCUGCCACCGUGGAUGAACGGCGACGUGAACGCUGCCAACAUCGAAUCUUUACUGGCCAGUCCUAGCAGAGAAACGGAGAUCCAGGAGUCGACUGGAAACUCUCCAGCAGGAAGAGUUCUAUUGUCGCUGACGAACACGAUGUCGACUCCAGACGGGGAAGCUGGAGGAAGGACCAGGAGGAGGAGGAAAGGUGUGGUCAAUUACCUCGAGCCGACUCUGAGGAGCAAACUGAGGCGAGGAGACGAACACACCGACAGCACGUUCCUCAGCUCCCCAAUGUUCAAGGACAAGAGGAAGAAGAAAACUGUCAGCAAAACCAAGACAGACAGACCCAUGUUACUGGACUGAUUAUUAUCAGUUUCUCUGUUUAACUUUAUUUUUAGUUGUUUUUUCAAGUUUGCCUUAAAGUUCAAUAAAGAUGUUUUCUGGUAAA
ensembl:lncRNA